UUCUAGAGCUAAUACAUGCUGUUAAGCCCAACUUAUGGAAGGGCCGUAUUUAUUAGAUAACAGACCAAUAUUCUUCGUGUCUAUUGUGGUGAAUCAUAGUAACUAAUCGGAUCGUAUGGGCUAGUCCCUCGACAAACCAUUCAAGUUUCUGCCCCAUCAGCUUUCGAUGGUAGUGUAUUGGACUACCAUGGCUUUCACGGGUAACGGAGGAUUAGGGUUCGAUUCCGGAGAGGGAGCCUGAGAAACGGCUACCACAUCUAAGGAAGGCAGCAGGCGCGUAAAUUACCCAAUUCUGACUCAGAGAGGUAGUG
rnacentral:rRNA from 1 species